AUGCUCGCUUUGGCAGCACAUACACUAAAAUUAGAAUGAUACAGAGAAGAUUAGCAUGGCCCCUAGAUAAGGAUGACACACAAAUUUGUGAACUGUUUCAUAUUUUU